GGUGAACGCUGGCGGCGUGCUUAACACAUGCAAGUCGAACGGUGGCGCAGAGAUUGCUCUGUGUAACAGUGGCGAACGGGUGGGUAACUCGUGAGCACACUGCCCCUGACUCUGGGAUAAGCGCUGGAAACGGCGACUAAUACUGGAUAUGAGCUGCGACCGCAGGGUCAGCCGAUGGGAAGUUUUUUCGUUCUGGGAUGGGCUCACGGGCUAUCAGCUUAUUGGUGAGGUAAUGUCUCGCCAAGGCGUCGCCGGGUAGCCGGCCUGGGAGGCUGACAGGCCACACUGGGACUGAGACGCGGCAGAGACGCGUAAGGGAGGCAGCAGUGGGGAAUAGUGCACCAGGCGCGCAAGCCGGAUGCAGCAAGGCCGCGUGUGGGAUGACGGCCUUCGGGUUAUAAACCUCUUGUAGCAGAGAAGCAGCGAGAGUGAAGGUUACUGCAGAAAAAGCCACGGCUAACUAUGGG
rnacentral:rRNA from 1 species